rnacentral:rRNA from 1 species
AGAGUUUGAUCCUGGCUCAGGAUGAACGCUGGCGGCGUGCUUAACACAUGCAAGUCGAACGGGAAUUACUUUAUUGAAACUUCGGUCGAUUUAAUUUAAUUCUAGUGGCGGACGGGUGAGUAACGCGUGGGUAACCUGCCUUAUACAGGGGGAUAACAGUCAGAAAUGGCUGCUAAUACCGCAUAAGCGCACAGAGCUGCAUGGCUCGGUGUGAAAAACUCCGGUGGUAUAAGAUGGACCCGCGUUGGAUUAGCUUGUUGGUGGGGUAACGGCCCACCAAGGCGACGAUCCAUAGCCGGCCUGAGAGGGUGAACGGCCACAUUGGGACUGAGACACGGCCCAGACUCCUACGGGAGGCAGCAGUGGGGAAUAUUGCACAAUGGGGGAAACCCUGAUGCAGCGACGCCGCGUGAAGGAAGAAGUAUCUCGGUAUGUAAACUUCUAUCAGCAGGGAAGAUAAUGACGGUACCUGACUAAGAAGCCCCGGCUAACUACGUGCCAGCAGCCGCGGUAAUACGUAGGGGGCAAGCGUUAUCCGGAUUUACUGGGUGUAAAGGGAGCGUAGACGGCGCAGCAAGUCUGAUGUGAAAGGCAGGGGCUUAACCCCUGGACUGCAUUGGAAACUGCUGUGCUUGAGUGCCGGAGGGGUAAGCGGAAUUCCUAGUGUAGCGGUGAAAUGCGUAGAUAUUAGGAGGAACACCAGUGGCGAAGGCGGCUUACUGGACGGUAACUGACGUUGAGGCUCGAAAGCGUGGGGAGCAAACAGAAUGAGAUACCCUGGUAGUCCACGCCGUAAACGA